AUUGAACGCUGGCGGCAUGCCUUACACAUGCAAGUCGAACGGCAGCACGGGGGCAACCCUGGUGGCGAGUGGCGAACGGGUGAGUAAUACAUCGGAACGUAUCCAGAUGUGGGGGAUAACCAGUCGAAAGACUGGCUAAUACCGCAUGCGCCCGAAAGGGGAAAGCGGGGGAUCCAAGGGCAACUGAGGACCUCGCGCGAUUGGAGCGGCCGAUGUCCGAUUAGCUAGUUGGUGAGGUAACGGCUCACCAAGGCGACGAUCGGUAGCUGGUCUGAGAGGACGACCAGCCACACUGGGACUGAGACACGGCCCAGACUCCUACGGGAGGCAGCAGUGGGGAAUUUUGGACAAUGGGCGCAAGCCUGAUCCAGCCAUGCCGCGUGUGUGAUGAAGGCCUUCGGGUUGUAAAGCACUUUCGGACGGAACGAAAUCGCGCGGGCGAAUAUCCCGCGUGGAUGACGGUACCGUAAGAAGAAGCACCGGCUAACUACGUGCCAGCCGCCGCCGUAA
rnacentral:rRNA from 1 species